GAAGGGCUGUGGCUCAGUGGUAAAGAACAUGCUUUGCAUGCAAAAGAUCGCAGGUUCAAUCCCUGAAAUCUCAUCUUCU